AUGGAAUCGGUGAGCUCCGGCGACGGCUAUCCCCAGCUACGGACGACCGUCGGCCAGCGCGGGCUCAGUCGGCACGGCGCCGACGACCCUCGGCUUGGAGCUCGCCCUCGCCCGCGACCCUCCACGGCCAUCCACCCGAGCCCAUCCAUGGAGGGAGAGGCCGUUGACGCCGAGCUGCGGCUCUGCCCACCGCACAGCGGCGGCGCGUCGGCGGUGGCGGCGGAGAGCAAGUACGUCAAGGUGAGCGUGGAAGGAGCCCGGUACCAGCGGACGGUGGACCUGAGGGCGUACGGUGGGCACGGGGAGCUCAGGGCGGCGCUCUUGGGCCUGGCCGGCCAGAUGCUGGACUUGGCCGUGGCCUACGAGGACAAUGCCGGCGACAUCUUGCUCGCCGGCGACCUCCCCUGGGACAUGUUCGUCUCCGACUGCAGGAGUGUCAGGAUUAUGAGACGGUCGACGACGGUGACAAGCAGCUAG
rnacentral:rRNA from 1 species